GCCUUGAAAGCCCGAUUGUUUGGGCGCCUGGUCUUGUAAAUCAGGAGGGAGGGUUAAAACCCCUCUCAAGGCU
rnacentral:tRNA from 1 species